AAUCCCAGAGCAGAGCAUCAUGAACGCAAGCAAACGAGAGCCAGGGCAAGCACCUGUGACACGACAAAUGAGCAACAGACUGCCGCCGGAGCCUGAAGAGAGUUCAGAGGAGUUACCGGCGAGCUUCAUGAAAGCCAUGUUUGAUUUCACAGCGCGAAACCCUCGAGAGCUUUCCAUCAGUAAAGGUGAACAACUACAGGUG